rnacentral:rRNA from 1 species
AGUGAACGCUGGCGGUAGGCCUAACACAUGCAAGUCGAACGGCAGCACAGUAAGAGCUUGCUCUUACGGGUGGCGAGUGGCGGACGGGUGAGGAAUACAUCGGAAUCUACUUUUUCGUGGGGGAUAACGUAGGGAACUUACGCUAAUACCGCAUACGACCUACGGGUGAAAGCAGGGGAUCUUCGGACCUUGCGCGAUUGAAUGAGCCGAUGUCGGAUUAGCUAGUUGGCGGGGUAAAGGCCCACCAAGGCGACGAUCCGUAGCUGGUCUGAGAGGAUGAUCAGCCACACUGGAACUGAGACACGGUCCAGACUCCUACGGGAGGCAGCAGUGGGGAAUAUUGGACAAUGGGCGCAAGCCUGAUCCAGCCAUACCGCGUGGGUGAAGAAGGCCUUCGGGUUGUAAAGCCCUUUUGUUGGGAAAGAAAGGCAGCAGGUUAAUACCCCGCUGUUCUGACGGUACCCAAAGAAUAAGCACCGGCUAACUUCGUG